rnacentral:rRNA from 1 species
AUGAACGCUGGCGGCGUGCCUAAUACAUGCAAGUCGAGCGAACAGACGAGGAGCUUGCUCCUCUGACGUUAGCGGCGGACGGGUGAGUAACACGUGGAUAACCUACCUAUAAGACUGGGAUAUCUUCGGGAAACCGGAGCUAAUACCGGAUAAUAUAUUGAACCGCAUGGUUCAAUAGUGAAAGACGGUUUUGCUGUCACUUAUAGAUGGAUCCGCGCCGCAUUAGCUAGUUGGUAAGGUAACGGCUUACCAAGGCAACGAUGCGUAGCCGACCUGAGAGGGUGAUCGGCCACACUGGAACUGAGACACGGUCCAGACUCCUACGGGAGGCAGCAGUAGGGAAUCUUCCGCAAUGGGCGAAAGCCUGACGGAGCAACGCCGCGUGAGUGAUGAAGGUCUUCGGAUCGUAAAACUCUGUUAUUAGGGAAGAACAAAUGUGUAAGUAACUAUGCACGUCUUGACGGUACCUAAUCAGAAAGCCACGGCUAACUACGUG